UGCAGGAAGUCCCUCCUGCUGACUGGUUACCUGGAGUAUCUGAUCCAGCAUUACUAUAGCAAAGACACCGCCGAGCCCCUCAAACCUCACGUCUACAUCAUCACGCCUGACCUCUGACCCUCAGCAGAGAGGCUGCCAACUCUCUCUCUCUUUCUCCAUCCAUCAUCCACCAGGAAAGUGUACCAGCAGCUGGAGAGAAGAGGGGAGUAGCUUGUGACACGAGGGAACCCACUAACUUAACCCUGAUGCUCGGGCAAGAGUUCAGUUAUUGAAGGACUAGAGCUGAGUUAUUGAGCUGCUUCCACAGGCCAUGUGUGAAAUAUUGCUGGGAGUGCAGUGUCUCUCUCCCUGCCCUUAUGGACAUUUAUACCACACGCCUCACCCACAAAGCCAUCAGGAUUGCUGUUGACCCCACCCACCCAAAACUGUGCCAUGUAAUUUCUUGGUAAACAAUUGCAUGGAUUUUCAACAAAAAUUAAUAAAGAGAAUUCAGUGUUGAUAUGGGGCCCCACCACUGAUCCACCAUGUUCUGCAAA